AUACGGGAGGCAGCAGUAAGGAAUAUUGGACAAUGCCCGCAAGGGUGAUCCAGCCAUGCCGCGUGCAGGAAGACGGCCCUAUGGGUUGUAAACUGCUUUUAUACAAGAGAAAACCUCCCUACGUGUAGGGAGCUGAUAGUAUUGUAGGAAUAAGCAUCGGCUAACUUCGUGCCAGCAGCCGCGGUAAGACGAAGGAUGCAAGCGUUAUCCGGAUUCAUUGGGUUUAAAGGGAGCGUAGGCGGCCCUGUAAGUCAGUGGUGAAAUCACUCGGCUUAACCGAGAAAUUGCCAUUGAUACUGCAGGGCUUGAGUACAGCUGCUGUGGGCGGAAUAUGACAUGUAGUGGUGAAAUACAUAGAGAUGUCAUAGAACACCGAUUGCGAAGGCAGCUCACAAAACUGUAACUGACGCUGAGGCUCGAAAGUGCGGGGAUCAAACAGGAUUAGAUACCCUGGUAGUCGC
rnacentral:rRNA from 1 species